UACGAAGGGGGGCUAGCGUUGUUCGGAAUUACUGGGCGUAAAGCGCGUGUAGGCGGGUCUUUAAGUCAGGGGUGAAAUGCCAAGGCUCAACCUUGGAACUGCCUUUGAUACUGGAGACCUUGAGUCCGGGAGAGGUGAGUGGAAUUGCGAGUGUAGAGGUGAAAUUCGUAGAUAUUCGCAAGAACACCAGUGGCGAAGGCGGCUCACUGGCCCGGAACUGACGCUGAGACGCGAAAGCGUGGGGAGCAAACAGG
rnacentral:rRNA from 1 species